GGGUUGUGAGGUUAAGCGACUAAGCGUACACGGUGGAUGCCCUGGCAGUCAGAGGCGAUGAAGGACGUGCUAAUCUGCGAUAAGCGCCGGUAAGGUGAUAUGAACCGUUAUAACCGGCGAUUUCCGAAUGGGGAAACCCAGUGUGAUUCGUCACACUAUCAUUAACUGAAUCCAUAGGUUAAUGAGGCGAACCGGGGGAACUGAAACAUCUAAGUACCCCGAGGAAAAGAAAUCAACCGAGAUUCCCCCAGUAGCGGCGAGCGAACGGGGAGGAGCCCAGAGCCUGAAUCAGCAUGUGUGUUAGUGGAAGCGUCUGGAAAGGCGCGCGAUACAGGGUGACAGCCCCGUACACAAAAGCGCAUGUGCUGUGAGCUCGAUGAGUAGGGCGGGACACGUGGUAUCCUGUCUGAAUAUGGGGGGACCAUCCUCCAAGGCUAAAUACUCCUGACUGACCGAUAGUGAACCAGUACCGUGAGGGAAAGGCGAAAAGAACCCCGGCGAGGGGAGUGAAAAAGAACCUGAAACCGUGUACGUACAAGCAGUGGGAGCACAGGUUUACCUGUGUGACUGCGUACCUUUUGUAUAAUGGGUCAGCGACUUAUAUUCUGUAGCAAGGUUAACCGAAUAGGGGAGCCGGAGGGAAACCGAGUCUUAAUUGGGCGUUAAGUUGCAGGGUAUAGACCCGAAACCCGGUGAUCUAGCCAUGGGCAGGUUGAAGGUUGGGUAACACUAACUGGAGGACCGAACCGACUAAUGUUGAAAAAUUAGCGGAUGACCUGUGGCUGGGGGUGAAAGGCCAAUCAAACCGGGAGAUAGCUGGUUCUCCCCGAAAGCUAUUUAGGUAGCGCCUCGUGAAUUCAUCUCCGGGGGUAGAGCACUGUUUCGGCUAGGGGGCCAUCCCGGCUUACCAACCCGAUGCAAACUGCGAAUACCGGAGAAUGUUAUCACGGGAGACACACGGCGGGUGCUAACGUCCGUCGUGAAGAGGGAAACAACCCAGACCGCCAGCUAAGGUCCCAAAGUCAUGGUUAAGUGGGAAACGAUGUGGGAAGGCCCAGACAGCCAGGAUGUUGGCUUAGAAGCAGCCAUCAUUUAAAGAAAGCGUAAUAGCUCACUGGUCGAGUCGGCCUGCGCGGAAGAUGUAACGGGGCUAAACCAUGCACCGAAGCUGCGGCAGCGAACGUAUCACCCAAGACAACUUUACGGAGUUGACGAUUGACGGAGCGAAGCGACGUCAAAGCGUUCAUUAAAGUCGAGUUGGCUUAGGGAUACGUUCGUUGGGUAGGGGAGCGUUCUGUAAGCCUGUGAAGGUGUGUCGUGAGGCAUGCUGGAGGUAUCAGAAGUGCGAAUGCUGACAUAAGUAACGAUAAAGCGGGUGAAAAGCCCGCUCGCCGGAAGACCAAGGGUUCCUGUCCAACGUUAAUCGGGGCAGGGUGAGUCGACCCCUAAGGCGAGGCCGAAAGGCGUAGUCGAUGGGAAACGGGUUAAUAUUCCCGUACUUGGUGUUACUGCGAAGGGGGGACGGAGAAGGCUAUGUUGGCCGGGCGACGGUUGUCCCGGUUUAAGCGUGUAGGUGUGUGUUCCAGGUAAAUCCGGUUCACUUUAACACUGAGGCGUGAUGACGAGGCACUACGGUGCUGAAGCAACAAAUGCCCUGCUUCCAGGAAAAGCCUCUAAGCAUCAGGUAACAUCAAAUCGUACCCCAAACCGACACAGGUGGUCAGGUAGAGAAUACCAAGGCGCUUGAGAGAACUCGGGUGAAGGAACUAGGCAAAAUGGUGCCGUAACUUCGGGAGAAGGCACGCUGACACGUAGGUGAAGUGAUUUACUCAUGGAGCUGAAGUCAGUCGAAGAUACCAGCUGGCUGCAACUGUUUAUUAAAAACACAGCACUGUGCAAACACGAAAGUGGACGUAUACGGUGUGACGCCUGCCCGGUGCCGGAAGGUUAAUUGAUGGGGUCAGCGCAAGCGAAGCUCCUGAUCGAAGCCCCGGUAAACGGCGGCCGUAACUAUAACGGUCCUAAGGUAGCGAAAUUCCUUGUCGGGUAAGUUCCGACCUGCACGAAUGGCGUAAUGAUGGCCAGGCUGUCUCCACCCGAGACUCAGUGAAAUUGAACUCGCUGUGAAGAUGCAGUGUACCCGCGGCAAGACGGAAAGACCCCGUGAACCUUUACUAUAGCUUGACACUGAACAUUGAGCCUUGAUGUGUAGGAUAGGUGGGAGGCUUUGAAGUGUGGACGCCAGUCUGCAUGGAGCCGACCUUGAAAUACCACCCUUUAAUGUUUGAUGUUCUAACGUGGACCCGUAAUCCGGGUUGCGGACAGUGUCUGGUGGGUAGUUUGACUGGGGCGGUCUCCUCCUAAAGAGUAACGGAGGAGCACGAAGGUUGGCUAAUCCUGGUCGGACAUCAGGAGGUUAGUGCAAUGGCAUAAGCCAGCUUGACUGCGAGCGUGACGGCGCGAGCAGGUGCGAAAGCAGGUCAUAGUGAUCCGGUGGUUCUGAAUGGAAGGGCCAUCGCUCAACGGAUAAAAGGUACUCCGGGGAUAACAGGCUGAUACCGCCCAAGAGUUCAUAUCGACGGCGGUGUUUGGCACCUCGAUGUCGGCUCAUCACAUCCUGGGGCUGAAGUAGGUCCCAAGGGUAUGGCUGUUCGCCAUUUAAAGUGGUACGCGAGCUGGGUUUAGAACGUCGUGAGACAGUUCGGUCCCUAUCUGCCGUGGGCGCUGGAGAACUGAGGGGGGCUGCUCCUAGUACGAGAGGACCGGAGUGGACGCAUCACUGGUGUUCGGGUUGUCAUGCCAAUGGCACUGCCCGGUAGCUAAAUGCGGAAGAGAUAAGUGCUGAAAGCAUCUAAGCACGAAACUUGCCCCGAGAUGAGUUCUCCCUGAGACUUAGAGUCUCCUGAAGGAACGUUGAAGA
rnacentral:rRNA from 1 species